rnacentral:rRNA from 1 species
UGGGGAAUAUUGCACAAUGGGCGCAAGCCUGAUGCAGCAACGCCGCGUGAACGAUGAAGGUCUUCGGAUCGUAAAGUUCUGUUGCAGGGGAAGAUAAUGACGGUACCCUGUGAGGAAGCCCCGGCUAACUACGUGCCAGCAGCCGCGGUAAUACGUAGGGGGCUAGCGUUAUCCGGAUUUACUGGGCGUAAAGGGUGCGUAGGUGGUCUUUCAAGUCGGUGGUUAAAGGCUACGGCUCAACCGUAGUUAGCCUCCGAAACUGGAAGACUUGAGUGCAGGAGAGGAAAGUGGAAUUCCCGGUGUAGCGGUGAAAUGCGUAGAUAUUGGGAGGAACACCAGUAGCGAAGGCGGCUUUCUGGACUGCAACUGACACUGAGGCACGAAAGCGUGGGUAGCAAACAGG